AUUGUGCCCAGGCCUGGAAGGUGUCCAGUCUGAGAGAAACUUACUGAAGCAUCUCUGAGGAAGGGAGAUGGAGGCACAAAGAACAAGUAAAGUAACUUGCCCAAGGUCAUCCAGCAGCAGAGCUGGGAAUACAACUCAGGACUCCUGAGUCUCAAUCCAGGGCUCUACCUACUCGCAUAUGCUGCUUUGGGAAGAGUUGGAGGUUCCGGUCCUAUCACAUGCUACUAUGGGUCAAAUUCUGUGAUCAGAUAAGCAUGUGUAAUCUCCAUUGACAGCACUCGGAGAUUCAUGGAGCAUUGUGUUCCCUGAGAACAGAACUUGGCUCAUAAUUUUAAAGUAAAGUAUUAUUCCUGCAAUAA